GACGAACGCUGGCGGCGUGCUUAACACAUGCAAGUCGAACGGAAAGGCCCUGCUUGCAGGGUACUCGAGUGGCGAACGGGUGAGUAACACGUGGGUGAUCUGCCCUGCACUUCGGGAUAAGCCUGGGAAACUGGGUCUAAUACCGGAUAGUAGCCAUUUUUAGUGUGAUGGUUGGAAAGUUUUUUCGGUGUAGGAUGAGCUCGCGGCCUAUCAGCUUGUUGGUGGGGUAAUGGCCUACCAAGGCGGCGACGGGUAGCCGGCCUGAGAGGGUGGACGGCCACAUUGGGACUGAGAUACGGCCCAGACGCCUACGGGAGGCAGCAGUGGGGAAGAUUGCACAAUGGGCGCAAGCCUGAUGCAGCGACGCCGCGUGGGGGAUGACGGCCUUCGGGUUGUAAACUCCUUUCGCGAGGGACGAAGCUUUUUGUGACGGUACCUAGAUAAGAAGCACCGGCUAACUACGUG
rnacentral:rRNA from 1 species